AACAAGGUCUCCGUUGGUGAACCAGCGGAGGGAUCAUUAUCGAGUUAUUCAACUCCCAAACCCUAUGUGAACUUACCACUUGUUGCUUCGGCGCGCGCUUCGGCGCCGCCGAGGACACUUAAACUCUUUGUUUUUAUAAGCAUUUCUGAGUGGCCGAAAGGCAAAAAUACAAAUGAAUCAAAACUUUCAACAACGGAUCUCUUGGUUUUGGCAUCGAUGAAGAACGCAGCGAAAUGCGAUAAGUAAUGUGAAUUGCAGAAUUCAGUGAAUCAUCGAAUCUUUGAACGCACAUUGCGCCCGCCAGCAUUCUGGCGGGCAUGCCUGUUCGAGGGUCAUUUCAACCCUCGAGCCCGACUCUUUUGAGGACGGCUCGGCGUUGGGGGACGGCAGACUCCCCCCGGCAUCUCGCCGGGGACGCCGCCCCCGAAAUCUAGUGGCGGCCCUCCGAGGCGACCUCUGCGUAGUAACUUGUUCUCGCACCGGAAAGCUCAGAGCGGCCACGCCGUAAAACCCCAACUUUUUUCAGGUUGACCUCGAAUCAGGUAGGACUACCCGCUGAACUUAAGCAUAUCAAUA
rnacentral:rRNA from 1 species